rnacentral:rRNA from 1 species
AUGAAAGGGAUCUUUUGGAAUAGCAGAGGUCUGGCAGACUUGGCUAAGCAACGGUUCCUUGCAGAAAUAACUUUAGAGGAUAAAUUAGAGUUUAUCGCUCUUCUGGAGACGGGUAGAGAUAACUUCACGCCACAAUUCUUAGGCUCACUUACAGCAGGAGUUGCCUUUGAUUGGCACUGCCUUCCGCCAAGAGGGCGAUCCGGUGGGAUUCUCUUGGGAGUGAAGUGUGAAACCCUUGAGGUUAUAAAUAUAGUAAGAGGAGAAUAUAUGGUGAAGUUCAGGGUUAGGUCCAAAUUGGAUGGGUUCCGUUGGGCCUUAGUGGCAGUAUAUGGGGCUGCUCAACCAGAGUUUAAGCCGGAGUUCUUAGCAGAUCUGGUACGGAUUUGUGGAGAUGAAAGAUUGCCAAUUUUGGCAGGAGGUGAUUUUAAUAUCAUUAGGAGGAAGGAAGAAAAGAACAAUGAUCAUUUUGAUGGACGAUGGUCUUUUAUGUUCAAUAUGAUCAUUGAGAGUCUUAACCUUAGGGAGAUUGAACUCUCAGGAAGACAAUUUACCUGGGCAAAUUCUCUUCCUACUCCUAUGUACGAGAAGCUCGAUAGGGUUCUGGUGAGUGUGGAAUGGGAACAGAACUACCCCUUAGUAUCGGUGCACGCGAUGCAACGGGCGAUCUCGGACCACACACCCCUGUUAGUUGAUUCAGGGAGCGCCACGCAUAUUGGUAAUAAAAAUAUUUUCUCGUUUGAAUUAAGUUGGUUCGAAAAAGAGAAUUUCAUCGAGAUGGUGGCAAGAGAGUGGGCUAAACCAGUGCAUGGCACAUCUAGCGUGGAACGUUGGCAGAACAAAAUCAGACACCUGAGACAAUUCCUGAGGGGUUGGGCUAAAAAUGAGAGUGGGAUCUAUAAAAAGAGAAGGAGAGGCUGCUCCAGUUAA